AAAUAUGGUGAGAGUAUUUCCUAAGAAUUUCCUUAAAUCUCUCCCAACUAUCAUAAAUGGUUUCUCCUUCAAACUGGAUAAAAAAAAGUGAUAUCAUUUUUAUGUUU